rnacentral:lncRNA from 1 species
AAAACAAUUUUCUUGGGUCAAAGUUGACAUCAACAAUAUCAUACUAAAAGUCAUUGGUCAAUAUUUACAAAAUGAUACAUAUAAAUGUAAAUUAAAAAUCAAUGAAGAAUUUAAAUGCUGACAUUACUUUGAAGAGUAAUUAAGAGUACAUCAGAUGAUAAAAUGUAUUGUUUUACAUAAAUAAACAGAAGUUUGAUGCCAGACAUCAAGAAGUCAUUAAUUACAUGAUAGGCCUCGUCUUUUUUUCCCCUACUUCCUUCCAUAACAUUUCAUAAGAUUAACAUAUUUAUCAUGAUUAUACUUUAAAGAGAUGGAUGAGACAUAUUUGAAUACAAUCAGGUUGAGUUAUGAUGAUAUAAACCCCUAAAUCCAAUUAAUUUUACAAUUUUACAGAAAGUUGUGUACUUUAAUACACAGAAAAUUUAUAUUAUCAUUAUAAAGAUGCAUGAGGAAUAUUAACUUACAAAUAUAACUGAUUUACAUGUUGUAUUUGUGUACUGUAAAUUCAGAAAUUAUUGCGAGGUUUUUAUUAUUGCGAAAUAUGCGACUGAGUUGUAAACGCAAUAAUUUAAACUCGCACUUUGAAAUGUUUUAUAUGAAUUAAACAUGAUUUUUCUCAAAAUCGUAAUAAUUAAAAUCGCAUUUUAGUCUGAAAUGACAAAAUCGCAAUAAUAAAUGCAUGCA